ensembl:lncRNA
AGCUGAUGUUACAUCACCAGGUUGAUCAGACCAGAAGGAAUAUGUUCACCUAGCCGAUGCAAAUUUGAGGUGGAAAAUAAGGACCAAAGGGGUUGAAAUGAGGCAUGGGGUUUCGAAGUGCUGAGAAAAGUCAGCUUGGAAUAAAAAUGCAAAGAAAGAGGGUGGGAGGGAGGAUGGGAGAGAGAGGGAGGGGGAAGGAGAGAGAGAGAUUGAAAAAUCAAUCCCCCAGCCACAGGCAGCCCAGCUGGUGGGCACCAGAUGGGAAAGCGAUGAUCUACAGAUCAGGGCCUGUUAACAAGGCUGAUGGCAACCCAAGGAAACCACCUGCAGCCGGCUUUGCAGAAAAUCAGCACCCAAGGAUGGGGCUUCCAGUAAUCCAUCGCAGGAACCACCGAGCCAUGAACUUGUUAAACGGUAGCCGCUGGAGGCCGGCUCAGCUCACGCUCAGCUGCAAACGGGGCGAAUCUCUGCCACUGGAAGACCAGAUGGCGCCAGUGUUGGUGGUGGUCUCACGGUCCCAACACGCACCUUGGCAGAUGCUGGGGUUGGCAGCUCCCGGGUCAGCUGAACUAACAUUGCCGGCAUCUUCUGAGCGUUUGAGAGGUGCAUCUGUUCGCUCUAACAAAAUGCAAUUAUUAGUGAACACGAGCUCUAUGAUGUUGUGUUGGCCUCUGCCACACAUCAACAUGAAUCUGUCACAGCGCUACCUGGAUCUCAUCUCCUUUCCUUGCUGCCUUCACUUCCCCUUGAGGACUAAGGACUGAAGAUCCCCUGAAACUCUGCUGUAGCCAGUGGAUUCUCUACUGCUGAGCUACCAGAGAAGCUUCAAAGUACAUGACACAAGCAGAAAUGAGAGCUUCCGCAGGACUUUGGGUGGAACUCUUGGGAAAAAGACAAUCUCUUUCUACUGAGAGGCUAAUGCAGGCUAGAGUCAGCAUGGGAAGACCUGCCGGAGGAUGCAGCCAGCCUGGAGGAGAGCCAAGAGGCAGGGGAAUGAGGAGAGGGGCUCGUCCCUGCACAGUGCUUGGAGUACUUGGAUCCAGUUGUGCACGAAGAUUCCCUACUGCCUGGACUUUCAGUGAUACCAGGCUGUUUUUGCAU